UACGUAGGUGGCAAGCGUUGUUCGGAAUGACUGGGCGUAAAGGGCGUGUAGGUGGACUGAUCAGUCGGGUGUGAAAUAUCCAGGCUCAACCUGGAGGGUGCAUCCGAUACGGUCAGUCUUGAGUGCAGGAGAGGGCAGUGGAAUUCCCAGUGUAGCGGUGAAAUGCGUAGAUAUUGGGAGGAACACCAGUGGCGAAGGCGGCUGCCUGGACUGUAACUGACACUGAGGCGCGAAAGCGUGGGGAGCAAACAGGAUUAGAUACCCUGGUAGUCCACGCCGUAAACGAUGGGUACUAGGUGUAGGAGGUAUCGACCCCUUCUGUGCCGGAGUUAACACAAUAAGUACCCCGCCUGGGGAGUACGGCCGCAAGGUUGAA
rnacentral:rRNA from 1 species